GGGGCUCAAACUCACAGACUGCGAGAUCGUGACCUGAGCUGAAGUCGGACGCUCAACCGACUGAGCCACCCAGGCUCCCCUAUGUUUGGUUUUUAUAUCUUUUCCUUUUAUUUACUUAUUUAGCUAUUUAUUUAUUUAUUUAUUUAGUGAGCAGAGGAGAGGCGUAGAGGGAGAGGGAGAGAAUCUUAAGCAGGUUCCACACUCAGCACAAAGCCUGAUGCUGGGCUUGAUCCCACCACCCUGCGAUCAUGACCAGAGCCAAAAAUUGAGAGUUGCCAUUCAACCCAGACACCGUCUUUCCUUCUCUUAUUAUAUCAGGGAUUAGAUUUCAGGAAGAAAAGCAAACAAGGAAAAGUACUUCUGAAGUUCCCCAGCACAUCAGUUGCCUCAACAUAGUAAAUCCAGGCAAAGAAAUGCCAAGACUCCACUAGCUCAGCCCCAACCCUCUGGUAAGGUCAAAAUACUGCAGGAGGGGAAUUAGCCAGUAACUGUUUCCACCAUCAUGCCCUGCUCUCCAUGUACCUGCCCAGUUGUGAGAUCCUUAGCUUGAGUGUUAGGAUGUCAUUUUCUCUACAAGCACUCGGUCAAUUAUAAAGUACUUGGCAUUGUGGGAGAGCAUUUCUUUCUGACCUCUGUCAGCAGAUGCUUGAUCUCUAGAAGCCUGGGGGGAUUGAUUACCUUCUGGUAACCACAGUUGCCAAUCUCACUGAGACAGUUGGGGAGAAGAGAAGGGCAGAGGGGUAGGCAAUCUUAUUGCUCCUGGUGGACAAAUCCAUUGAUGAAUUGCCUCCUGGGGAAGAUGGAAAAAAGAGUGUGCAAUGAUUUGUGUAUU
rnacentral:lncRNA from 1 species